rnacentral:lncRNA from 1 species
CAGUAAAUGCUGUGGCAUGAAGGACCCUCCUGGAGUGUCUGAGUUCUCAGGCUUCAAGGCCCCUAGAUAAGCAGAUUUCUCUCCCCUAUCACCAUAGUCACCCCAGGGACUGCAGGGCAGGCCGAAAUCAGCCAGUGACUCAGCUCCUUGGGCAAUUCAGCUGGCCCACAGACCACUUCCUCUGCUCCCCAGCGCCGGAUGGAUGCAGAUCUGUGAGUAAGGAGCCAGCUGCAGGCAAGCAGCUCGAGGGCAGGUUUCCAACUAAGGACUGAGCACACUCUCAACAUGGACCUCCUAACUGCUCUCGAGGAUGGACAGCUGGCCUCAAGGGAACACUGCAAAGUGGCUCUAGGAAGAAGCCACUGUCCCUCCAGACCAUAAAAAUGGCUACCAAGGGCAGAGCCAGCAGCUUUCGCUGUAAAGUUUCUCAAGAAAAUCACAGAUAUUCCCCUCUGUGAUGUUCAGCUCAGCCUGGAAAGGAGAGGUAGAAACUGAGAGUUGAAGAGGCUGAAUAAUUUCUCAAGCACACUCCCAACUCGACCACCCACAAGCAAAAAGGCAGAGCUGGGAUUCAAACACAGGUAUGACUGUGUGUGGACAUCUCCCCUGUGCUAUGCUCCCUGAAGGAAAAUUCUAAGUGGUGUUGUUUCUGGGAGAAAUCUACCUGUGUGGUCUUUAAACCUACUCUGACAGGAGCAAGGGCCACCACUCUGUAUCUAAGACCACUGGGAACAGUCUUCAGGCAACAAGGUGACCAGGGCAGCUGCAGAGGGUAUCUAUGCCCCUGCCCCCUAGCGCAAAAGUCUGUUUCUCUUUCCAAAUGGCCCGCUGGGAGCAACUAUUUAGGGAGACCAUACCUCCUCCCACACUCAGUUCCCAGGCCUGAGCCACAGAGUCCUGCCACAGGAGGGAGGACCUGCCUGUCCUGCUCCCUCCCCACUCCAGGUUCCUGGAGGCCUCUGUGAUGAUUCCCCAGGAAGGACUACAGGAUCUGGCAGGCAGCAGGUGGCGGUGGGAGGAGGAGAGUCCUGGGAGCACAGCACUCCUAACCCCCUCUGCCUCUCACAGAACAAAGAGGGAGUCAUGCCAUGUCCCCUGCUCCCACAAAUGCCCCACCCAGAGGGGCUAAUGCCUAGGAUUGAGGGUCUUGUGUGCUGAGGAAGUCCUGUCCCCCAAUCCCCUACAAAAGCCAGAACCAGCUACUAAGGGG